rnacentral:lncRNA from 10 species
GGUGCCUGCGCGCGAGGCGAGCGCAGGGCGGAGGGUGGGGCGCUCCGGGAGACAGCCGGGAGGAGGGAGGGGAGGCGCGAGCGCCGAGGAGCCCGAGCGUCCGGCGCCCGGCGGGCUCCAGGCUGGGGUUAAAUAUCCCGGGGGCGGCGCCGCGCCUCCCUACCCGCGCCCUGCGUCGGAGCCCUUGGACUUGCCUCGCGCGGCGAGGUUGUGCUGGUCUGCAAGGCCGAGCCCCUUCCCUAGGAUGGGAAAAGUCUCAGAGACAGCAGAUGAUGUCCCUGUGGUCUCAGGUCGUCCAGUAGGUGGGUGAACUGGGACUUGAAAUCAGGUCUGAUGUCCAGAUCUGCUCCUGACUGCUAUGGUACAGUGUCAUAAGUGAGUUUUGGCUUCUGGUCUACCUGAAGGCUGCCGUCUUUAGUGAAGUGUGGGCUUAACAGAGUGCAAAUACCACUCUACUUUGUGUUUUCAGAAAACAAAGGAUGGCCAAGCUCAUGGACUCUAGUGAUACAAGUUGGAUGGAUAUUGAUGAAAUGGUCAAAAGAGCCCCACAGUGGAUGUGUUAUCUUGGGCAAAUGGCUAAACCUCUCUCGGUUUCCUCAAGUGUUGGUGUCUCCUUCAUAGGGUGUUUGUAAAUAAAUGAAAUAAUGAGUAUGAAAGCUAUUACCCAAUGCCUGGCACACAGUGAAUGUUUGAUAACUGGAAAGAACACUAAUUUUUAGAUUGAAUGGAUCCCAUUUAGAAAAACAAAAUAUUUUAGAGUUGCAUUUUUUAAUGAAAAGAAAA